rnacentral:ribozyme from 13 species
GUCUCUCUUCUUUCUUUCCUUUUCUCUAUCCUUUUUCUUUUCUCCUUUCUUCCGUUUUUUUGAUAACAUCUUGAGAGCAAGAUCGAGUUCCGUUUUUUGUUCAACAAAAUCUUCUCCUCCUGCUGCUUCAACCAAUUCGUAUUUUUUCU